rnacentral:rRNA from 1 species
CCUACGGGAUGCAGCAGUAGGGAAUAUUGCUCAAUGGGGGCAACCCUGAAGCAGCAACGCCGCGUGGAGGAUGAAGGUUUUAGGAUUGUAAACUCCUUUUGUGAGAGAAGAUAAUGACGGUAUCUCACGAAUAAGCACCGGCUAACUCAGUGCCAGCAGCCGCGGUGAUACGUAGGGUGCAAGCGUUACUCGGAAUCACUGGGCGGAAAGAGUGCGCUGGAGGGCUUGUAAGUAAGAUGUGAAAUCCUGUAGCUUAACUACAGAAUUGCAUUUGACACUAGGAGUCUAGAGUGUGUGAGAGGUAGGUGGAAUUCUUGGUGUAGGGGUAAAAGCCGUAGAUAUCAAGAGGAAUACUCAUUGCGAAGGCGACCUACUGGAACAUUACGGACGCUCAUGCACGAAAGCGUGGGGAGCAAACAGGAUUAGAUACCCCUGUAGUC